GGGCCCGCACAAGCAGCGGAGCAUGUGGUUUAAUUCGAAGCAACGCGAAGAACCUUACCAGGGCUUGACAUCCCUUGAAGUGCGUGGAAACACGUACGCCCUUCGGGGCAAGGAGACAGGUGGUGCAUGGUUGUCGUCAGCUCGUGUCGUGAGAUGUUGGGUUAAGUCCCGCAACGAGCGCAACCCUUAUGGUUAGUUGCCAGCAUGCAAGAUGGGAACUCUAAUCAGACUGCCGGGGAUAACUCGGAGGAAGGUGGGGACGACGUCAAAUCAUCAUGCCCCUUAUGUCCUGGGCUACACACGUGCUACAAUGGCCGGUACAAAGAGCAGCGAAGCCGUAAGGUGAAGCGAAUCUCACAAAACCGGUCCCAGUUCGGAUUGUGGGCUGCAACCCGCCCACAUGAAGCCGGAGUUGCUAGUAAUCGCGAAUCAGCAUGUCGCGGUGAAUGCGUUCCCGGGCCUU
rnacentral:rRNA from 1 species